AGUUUCAUUCAAUAUAUUCGGAUUUUCAUUCCAUAUAUUCAGACUUUCAUUCCAUAUAUUCCGAGUUUCAUUCAAUAUAUUCAGAGUUUCAUUCAAUAUAUUCAGAGUUUCAUUCAAUAUAUUCCGAGUUUUUACCUACCGAGCCCCGGAAGGGACAUGUCGGUAUGGCGAAACGACAAUGGAGGACACCCACCCGUACGAGAGUUUUAUUGAGUUUUAUUUUGUAAUCAGCCUAAAAUACAAAGACAUUCAAGCAGUGCGAUGCAUGAGGAGUCUGCCAUGCAGACCAGCGAUCCUGAUCCUGUUGUCGGCCUUGGAUGAUGAGGUCCAGUUACCAGGAUCACUACUCUGCAGCUCACUGAUCCCAUCCUGCAGCUCAUCCAUGCCGUCCUCCUCUCAACAGACCAAAUCAAGAAAAAGGAAGCAGGAUGCUACUGUGGAUCUGCUCUUCAGAUUAGCUCUGCUGUGAUUAACAAUCUGCCUUCAUCGCAGUCACAGCCAACGGGGAAG